rnacentral:rRNA from 1 species
GACGAACGCUGGCGGCGUGCCUAAUACAUGCAAGUAGAACGCUGAGGUUUGGUGUUUACACUAGACUGAUGAGUUGCGAACGGGUGAGUAACGCGUAGGUAACCUGCCUCAUAGCGGGGGAUAACUAUUGGAAACGAUAGCUAAUACCGCAUAAGAGUAAUUAACACAUGUUGGUUAUUUAAAAGGAGCAAUUGCUUCACUGUGAGAUGGACCUGCGUUGUAUUAGCUAGUUGGUGAGGUAAAGGCUCACCAAGGCGACGAUACAUAGCCGACCUGAGAGGGUGAUCGGCCACACUGGGACUGAGGCACGGCCCAGACUCCUACGGGAGGCAGCAGUAGGGAAUCUUCGGCAAUGGACGGAAGUCUGACCGAGCAACGCCGCGUGAGUGAAGAAGGUUUUCGGAUCGUAAAGCUCUGUUGUUAGAGAAGAACGUUGGUAGGAGUGGAAAAUCUACCAAGUGACGGUAACUAACCAGAAAGGGACGGCUAACUACGUGCCAGCAGCCGCGGUAAUACGUAGGUCCCGAGCGCUGUCCGGAUUUAUUGGGCGUAAAGCGAGCGCAGGCGGUUCUUUAAGUCUGAAGUUAAAGGCAGUGGCUUAACCAUUGUACGCUUUGGAAACUGGAGGACUUGAGUGCAGAAGGGGAGAGUGGAAUUCCAUGUGUAGCGGUGAAAUGCGUAGAUAUAUGGAGGAACACCGGUGGCGAAAGCGGCUCUCUGGUCUGUAACUGACGCUGAGGCUCGAAAGCGUGGGGAGCAAACAGGAUUAGAUACCCUGGUAGUCCACGCCGUAAACGAUGAGUGCUAGGUGUUAGGCCCUUUCCGGGGCUUAGUGCCGCAGCUAACGCAUUAAGCACUCCGCCUGGGGAGUACGACCGCAAGGUUGAAACUCAAAGGAAUUGACGGGGGCCCGCACAAGCGGUGGAGCAUGUGGUUUAAUUCGAAGCAACGCGAAGAACCUUACCAGGUCUUGACAUCCUUCUGACCGGCCUAGAGAUAGGCUUUCUCUUCGGAGCAGAAGUGACAGGUGGUGCAUGGUUGUCGUCAGCUCGUGUCGUGAGAUGUUGGGUUAAGUCCCGCAACGAGCGCAACCCCUAUUGUUAGUUGCCAUCAUUAAGUUGGGCACUCUAGCGAGACUGCCGGUAAUAAACCGGAGGAAGGUGGGGAUGACGUCAAAUCAUCAUGCCCCUUAUGACCUGGGCUACGCACGUGCUACAAUGGUUGGUACAACGAGUCGCAAGCCGGUGACGGCAAGCUAAUCUCUUAAAGCCAAUCUCAGUUCGGAUUGUAGGCUGCAACUCGCCUACAUGAAGUCGGAAUCGCUAGUAAUCGCGGAUCAGCACGCCGCGGUGAAUACGUUCCCGGGCCU